UGAGUUGGUUGUCCACGUUUUUUUUUUCUUUUUCUAAGGAAAUUUAUCAACUUUUGAAACAUGGCAAUUGUCCAACAUUUACUGUUGCAUACAACUAUUUAUUUGCUAAUAAAUAAAUAAAUAUUUUCAAUAGUUAUAUACAUCAAUUCAUUUGUUUGUCAGUUUCACUAUAAAUUUUUUAUUUCUAUUCAGUUACUUAAAAUGAACCUUUUUAUAAUUUAAAUUGUUAAUUUUUGGUAAUUAAAAUUUGCAUCCAUAAAUUUAUUUUAUAAUAAGAGUUUUUUUGUUAUUAUACAUGUAUAUUUAGAUAUUUAUUAAUUUUAAUAGAUUUAAAUUUUCUCUAAUCUAUUUUAAUUAUUAUAUUAGUAGUAACUUUUAUUAUUUUUGUAUUUAUAAUUUUUAUUAAUUUAUAAUUAAUAUAAUUUAUAAAGUAAAAGCAUUACCAAUCAAUUUUAUUAAUUGUUAAAAUUCUUAUCUCUUAUACAUAUUCAAAGUAAUAUAUUUUUAUUCAAUAAUAAAUUAUUUUAAAUUAGUUUAAUAUUUUAUUUUUCUUUAAUAAAUACUUCAUUCUUUAUAUGUUUAUACAUUAAUUAUUUUAUUUAAAGCAUUACUGCAAUUUAUACUUCAAAAAAGUUACUAGUCAAUAUUUUUAAUAAAAUAGUAACUCUUAUUUUACUGCAAACUUACCGCAUAAGUCUACAGUUUUUACCACAUUAAUUUUACUGCAAAUUACAUCGAUUUGUAAUACAUACUGUAAAUCAACUCUAAUACUACAUGUCACCAAUAAGAGCAUCAAGCAUGAGUUUUAGCAUCAGAGAUAGUAAAUCAUAGUGUAUUGAUAGCCAAAAGUGAAAGCCUACGAGAAAUAAUAAAAGUCUAUAAGUAUAACUUGCUAUAUAAUAUAGCCACUCAAACA
rnacentral:lncRNA from 1 species